GGGCUAGAGUAAAGUCGUUGAGGGGCUAGAGUAAAUUCAUUGAUGGGCUAGAGUAAAGUCAUUGAGGGGCUAGAGUAAAGUCGUUGAGGGGCUAGACUAGCGUUGUUGAGGGGCUAGACUAGCGUCAUUGAGGGGCUAGAGUAAAGUCAUUGAGGGGCUAGAGUAAAGUCGUUGAGGGGCUAGAGUAAAGUCAUUGAGGGGCUAGAGUAAAGUCAUUGAGGGGCUAGAGUAAAGACGUUGAGGGGCUAGAGUAAAUUCAUUGAGGGGCUAGAGUAAAGUCGUUGAGGGGCUAGAAUAAAUUUGUUGAGGGGCUAGACUAGCGUCGUUGAGGGGCUAGACUAGCGUCAUUGAGGGGCUAGAGUAAAGUCGUUGAGGGGCUAGACUAGCGUUGUUGUGGGGCUAGAGUAAAGUCGUUGAGGGGCUAGAGUAAAGUCGUUGAGGGGCUAGAGUAAAGUCGUUGAGGGCUAGAGGAAAGUCGUUGAGGGCUAGAGUAAAGUUGUUGAUGGGCUAGAGUAAAGUCAUUGAGGGGCUAGAGUAAAGUCAUUGAGGGGCUAGAGUACAGUCAUUGAGGGGCUAGAGUAAAGUCAUUGAGAGGCUAGAGUAAAGUCAUUGAGGGGCUAGAGUAAAGUCAUUGAGGGGCUAGACUGAUGUCAUUGAGGGGCUAGACUAGCGUCAUUGAGGGGCUAGACUAGUGUCGUUGUGGGGCUAGAGUAAAGUCAUUGAGGGGCUAGAGUAAAGUCAUUGAGGGGCUAGAGUAAAGUCAUUGAGGGGCUAGAGUAAAGUCGUUGAGGGGCUAGAGUAAAGUCAUUGAGGGGCUAGAGUAAAGUCAUUGAGGGGCUAGACUAAAGUC
ensembl:lncRNA